UACGGAGGGGACUAGCGUUGUUCGGAAUUACUGGGCGUAAAGCGCACGUAGGCGGAUUUGUAAGUCAGGGGUGAAAUCCCGGGGCUCAACCUCGGAACUGCCUUUGAUACUGCAAAUCUCGAGUCCGGAAGAGGUGAGUGGAAUUCCUAGUGUAGAGGUGGAAUGCGUAGAGAUCCGGAAGAACACCGGUGGCGAAGGCGGCCUGCUGGGCAGUACUGACACUCAAGUGCGAAAGCGUGGGGAGCAAACAGG
rnacentral:rRNA from 1 species